rnacentral:rRNA from 1 species
GAGGGAAGAGCCCAAGAUUGAAAGCUGGCGUCUUCGGCGUCCGCAUUGUAAUCUCAAGAAGUGUUUUCCGCUUCGGACCAUGCCUAAGUCCCUUGGAAAAGGGCAUCAUAGAGGGUGAUAAUCCCGUACAUGGCAUGGAGCGCCCGAAGCUUUGUGAUACGCUUUCUAAGAGUCGAGUUGUUUGGGAAUGCAGCUCAAAAUGGGUGGUAAAUGCCAUCUAAGGCUAAAUAUUGGGGAGAGACCGAUAGCGAACAAGUACAGUGAUGGAAAGAUGAAAAGAACUUUGAAAAGAGAGUUAAACAGUACGUGAAAUUGCCAAAAGGGAAGGGUAGGAGGUCAGAGAUGCGGCCUGGGAUUCAGCCUUGCUUUUGCUUGGUGUUUUUCCCAGAUUGCAGGCCAACGUCGGUUUUGGGCACUGGAGAAGGGUAGGAGGAACGUGGCACCUCUCGGGGUGUGUUAUAGCCUCCUACUGGAUACAGCGACCGAGACCGAGGACAGCAGCGUACUCGCAAGAGCGGGCCUUCGGGCACCUUUACGCUUAGGGCGUUGGCAUAAUGGCCCU